rnacentral:tRNA from 1 species
CAAGUUAAAGCUUAGGGGAAGCAUUUUAGUUACAUUAAAAAGAUUACUGUUAUUAGUAUAAUUUGA